CUGAUAUUUUGAGCUUAUGUUUCCCUUAUGCGUCAGUAGGAAGAUUUUGUUCCAUUCCAUGUCCGUGAGCUCAGUCCCCGUUUCUAUUUCCCACCGCCUCGUGAAGCCCAAGGCGUCCUUAUCUCCGUUAUUCAUUAGAGCGGUAUACAGAGUUGACACGCCGUGUGAGAUGUGUUGCCUGGUCGCGCAUAGUUGUUCCAGAUACGAGAGGGGGCGGUGUACGUGAUCCUUCCCCUUGAUAGCGUUGAAGUACGUUUUGAGCUGGUGGUAAUGGAAUUCGUCCA